CUGAUUUUGGUGGAAGUUGCUUCUCCCAACCGCUGUUUCUGAGAAGCAGCAAUUCCUAGCUUUUAGGAAUUGCUUCUGCGGAACCACUCCGAAAAAACACGGAGCUUUUAAUGAAAUAUAUUCAACUACCAAUUUUGUCCUCGUCCUUUCUGAAAAUUACGUUGAACCCAGCAACUCUAUCUUUUCUCUUGAUCGCAGAUUCGCAGAUGCAUCGUUCUUCUGCUCCUCUCUUUGUUGUCAAUCCCUAAUCCUCAUCGGAACAAAUGGGGAGGGAGGGCCUCUGCUUCUCCUCCUCUCUCUGAGAAGUAUCAUCGUUCUCAUCAGAAACACGACGAGAGGAGCUCUAUUUGUGAUUGUCUUCUCCUUCUUCCCUCUCUACAGUCAUUGAACUGUUCAAGCAUCAAUCAUCCUCAUCAAAAACUCGGUAUAGCAGCGUCGUCCCCCAAUUUUAAAAGUUGAUUUCUUCAUCUUUCAUAUGGGCCAAUGAAGGACCACUCUUUUAUUGCAAGAAUUGUUUAUGGCAUGUACUGUCCAUGAGAAUUACAUGAGAAAGAAGGGGGGACUCUGGGGUGGAGAAAAGUACCUAACACGGAAGCUUCCCUGAAUUGCAUAUUGCAGAACGUUAUUUGUGACUUAUUUGUGCAUAACGUUAUGGAUCGAAAUUAACAUCUGAGGAGCUCCUGGAGUUUGAUGCGCUGACAGAUGACUAUGAAGUCAGCUGGCAUGUGAAGCAUCUUAGAAGUUUAUUGAGUCCGACAUCGGAUGAAUUGAAAUCCAGGGCAGUUCAAGUGAUGAACCGGAGGCGAGCCUACCUGAAUAAGUUGAUAUUUGAUGGGCAGAGGAUUCAAUGAGGGAGGGAGAGCCCUACUUGCAUCAUGAGUAUGUGGGGAAGUUUCAGGUUUCGAGUUGUAGGAGCACGGCAAGACCUGGGGAGCGGUGGUAAGAUACUUUGUUGCGGAGGUCAGAGGAAGCGAUUUUGGUAGCAAAGAUUAGAGGGGAGCAACAGAGGUUGGGUGUUGCUGAGAGUGAUUGGGUUGGCGAUGAGAGAAUUCAAGAAGUAGAGGAACAGGAGGAGGAGGAGGAGGAAGAAUCUAACAACGCUAAUGGGGGCACACAAUCAUCAGAGAUGCUGGUGGAUCCUCCUUAUGUGGCCAGUGGUGCUGAAACUGUAGACCAUACGGAUGCGCCUAAUGAUGCUUAAGCAACCACAGCAGGGUAGAGUGAGCAGGCAACUGUAUCUGCAGAAGAGUUGCAAGAUCUGAUGGACCAGUUCACCUACAUCAUGCAUGAGAAAUUUUUGUUAGGAGAAGAUCACGAGUACUUAGAUUACUCAAAGAUAGACAAUGACGAGACAUUGGAUGAUCACUGGCAGAGAGAAGCCAACCAUGACGCUGAAGAGAAGUACUUUAAUGAGGAUUAACAAAAGUUGAAGGGCGUUUAUGUUUUUCUCUGCACUCUAAGCCUUUUAACUCUGAUGUUAAUAUUUUUUGCUCUAGAGAGUAUUCAUAACCUAGUGUUCCAGUUGUAACUAUACCAGUAUACCCUACUUUCUCUGUACAUUAUAUAUAUGUAACCGCAUGUUUGUUUU